AUCUGAAUGAGAGAAGUAUGCAAGGUAUUCGCAUACUUUUGCCUUAAUGCACACUGAUAAAACGGUUUAAAUGAAAAGAACAAAUACCUGAAUAACAAAUCAGUGACAAAGAUAUUAGAAAAAUACAGAAAAUUUUUGUGAGCUAGUAAUAACUGGUAAUCGCAAAUAACCCUAUAGGCUUCAAAAAAUUGCGGCUAAAAUGAUCUCACAUAUUCCUCAAAACUACUGUUGAGAGUGAUACACAUCUAAAAUAACUGAGAUUAAGCUCUGAAAACAUCAGUGAAGUUUUACCAACUCUUCAAAUGUGAAACAGGAAGUUCAGGCAAACGAUCGCUUAAAAAAUACAUUCAGUAAGUAUAAAACAAACUACCUGAAGAAAUAAAGAAGGCAACCAGUAUUACCAGAUUCAAAAAAUUGGUCGAAGGUUAUUUCGACAGAAUUGGCCUCGCCCCUGAAGUACAAUAAAGAU